GGAGGUGUUACUUUGAGUAAAUGAAAGUGUUCAAAGCAGGCAACGCCUGAAUCUUAUAGCAUGGAAUAACAAAAUAAGAUGAUUUUUUAUUUGUUGGUUUCUAAAAAUCAUAAUGAUUAAUAGGAACGGUCGGGGACAUCAGUAUUCAAUAGUUAGAGGUGAAAUUCUUAGAUUUAUUGAAGACUAACUACUGCGAAAGCAUUUGUCAAGGACGUUUUCACUAAUCAAGAANACGGUCGGGGACAUCAGUAUUCAAUAGUUAGAGGUGAAAUUCUUAGAUUUAUUGAAGACUAACUACUGCGAAAGCAUUUGUCAAGGACGUUUUCACUAAUCAAGAACGAAAGUUAGGGGAUCGAAGAUGAUCAGAUACCGUCGUAGUCUUAACCAUAAACUAUGCCGACUAGGGAUCGGAUGUUGAUCAAAAUUUUGACACAUUCGGCACCUUACGAGAAAUCAAAGUUUUUGGGUUCUGGGGGGAGUAUGGUCGCAAGGCUGAAACUUAAAGGAAUUGACGGAAGGGCACCACCAGGAGUGGAGCCUGCGGCUUAAUUUGACUCAACACGGGGAAACUCACCAGGUCCAGACACAAUAAGGAUUGACAGAUUGAGAGCUCUUUCUUGAUUUUGUGGGUGGUGGUGCAUGGCCGUUCUUAGUUGGUGGAGUGAUUUGUCUGCUUAAUUGCGAUAACGAACGAGACCUUAACCUUUAAAUAGGUCCAUUAGCUUUUUGCUGAAAGGAACUUCUUAAAGGGACUAUUGAUUAAAAAUCAAUUGAAGUUUGAGGCAAUAACAGGUCUGUGAUGCCCUUAGACGUUCUGGGCCGCACGCGCGCUACACUGACGGAGGCAACGAGUUGACCUUAGCCGAAAGGUUUGGGAAAUCUAUAAACUCCGUCGUGAUGGGGAUAAAGCAUUGAAAUUAUUGCUU
rnacentral:rRNA from 1 species